rnacentral:tRNA from 1 species
CCUCUCGUGGUGUAGAGGUAAUGCACCCUAUCUAAUGAACAGGAAGUCAUGAGUUCGAUUCUCACCGAGAAGA